UCUUUGGGACAAAUUCAGGAUUCAAUUGGCGAUUGUUUUUGGAGGUAUUCACUUUACAUGGUGUUCAAGAUGGUUACUUCCGCCCACUCUGAAGAGUCUCGGCGUCUGAUUGGUCCAAUUUUCAGUUAGGCGCCGCCUGAUUGGCCGUUGGAUGAUGUCUGAUCCUAACAGAUGGCUAAAUCACUAGUUUAUUAUUUUCCUCAUGGAAGUUAUACAGUUCACGUAUCACACUUAAUAUUGAAUAUAUAUAAAAAGAGUUUUCCAAAAGGACCACUUAUAAGCGAAAUACAAAACUUCACACACGAUUUUGAGCACAACAGAGCGCUCAGUGAACAUCACUUCCGGGACCUGCAUCACCGGAGGGGGACAUCUAUCUUGGCCACAAACCAUCUUUGACAGUCUUCAGCAGCAUGGUUGAAUCAGGCGCAUCAACACAUGAUGUAGACAUCGUGUCCAAAAGAAGAGUGAGACGUAAUCCUGAGGCUGAAGCCACCGAGUUUAUUUGAUCUGGAUGUGACAAGUCUUGUUUUAAGGCCCAGUGGAUCAAUGAUUGGAAAGACACCAACUGUUGAUGUUCUAUCUCAACAUUCUCCAGAUUCAUGUGAGCGAUAAACCGACUUCAUCCCUCCAACAGACACCAACUGUUGGGGUUCUAUCUCAACAUUCUCCAGAUUCAGAUGUGAGCGAUAAACCGACUUCAUCCCUCCAACAGGUUAUUACAAGUCUAUUUUUACUAUAUCUGCUCUAAAUGUGACCCAACCUAUAUUUUGAAAGACAUUUAUUAAUUUUAA